rnacentral:rRNA from 1 species
AAUGAACGCUGGCGGCGUGCCUAAUACAUGCAAGUCGAGCGAAUGGAUUAAGAGCUUGCUCUUAUGAAGUUAGCGGCGGACGGGUGAGUAACACGUGGGUAACCUGCCCAUAAGACUGGGAUAACUCCGGGAAACCGGGGCUAAUACCGGAUAACAUUUUGAACCGCAUGGUUCAAAAUUGAAAGGCGGCUUCGGCUGUCACUUAUGGAUGGACCCGUGUCGCAUUAGCUAGUUGGUGAGGUAACGGCUCACCAAGGCAACGAUGCGUAGCCGACCUGAGAGGGUGAUCGGCCACACUGGGACUGAGACACGGCCCAGACUCCGACGGGAGGCAGCAGUAGGGAAUCUUCCGCAAUGGACGAAAGUCUGACGGAGCAACGCCGCGUGAGUGAUGAAGGCUUUCGGGUCGUAAAACUCUGUUGUUAGGGAAGAACAAGUGCUAGUUGAAUAAGCUGGCACCUUGACGGUACCUAACCAGAAAGCCACGGCUAACUACGUGCCAGCAGCCGCCGUAA